rnacentral:rRNA from 1 species
GUGCCAGCAGCCGCGGUAAUACGUAGGUCGCAAGCGUUGUCCGGAUUUACUGGGCGUAAAGAGCGCGCAGGCGGCUGGCCAAGUCCGAUGUGAAAGCUUCCGGCUUAACUGGAAAAUUGCAUCGGAAACUGGUCGGCUUGAAGGUGGGAGAGGGUAGCGGAAUUCCCGGUGUAGUGGUGAAAUGCGUAGAUAUCGGGAGGAACACCAGUGGCGAAGGCGGCUACCUGGCCCAUUCUUGACGCUGAGGCGCGAAAGCUAGGGGAGCGAACGGGAUUAGAAACCCUUGUAGUCC